GGUGCUAGUGAUCGACGCAAAAAGUACUGAAAAGCACAUACCAGUUUAACGCAUUUAUUUAUUUGUCUUAAGUGUUCAUUUUAAGUAUUUGUAGUCUUAUUUAUACAGUUACGUCUGCACUGCUAUCAUGUUGUUCCUGUGGUACUGAGAGGCACACUGACUGUAGCUGUAUGUGGUAUAAAGGAAGAUCACAUUACUGAAUUUUUAUAUCAUGGGGGUCAAUGGACUUCUGUCCAGCAACGUUUAUCAGACACAUCUUAAAUGGGGAUUCAUUGAAACGUCGCUCAUCUGUUUACCCAGUAAACGUAAACGAAAUAAGUUGGGCAUUUUUAAUGGCAACGAAGAAGCUGGUCAAAAAGGCAAUUUUGUGAAAUAGGGGUAUAAAUAUGAGGUAACACACAGGCCAAUUCUCUAAGUCAUCCAUCAAUAAAGUUGUGAUGUGCAGCAAAAGGUUGUUGAGCUUCACAAAAUGGUAAGCUGCUAUAAGAAAAUAGCUAAAGCAUUGAAAAUACCCAUUUCCACAAUCAUGGCAAUAAUUAAGAAAUGUCAAUCAACUGGAGAUGUUACGAAUUGGCUUGAAAGAGGACGUGUGUCUAUAUUGUCUCCAUGCAUGGCGAGGAGGAUGAGUUGAGUGGCCAAAAAUUCUGCAAGGAUCACAGCUGGACUUUGUUAGCCGACAUCGAAAAAUGUGAUCAGAUCAGCUUUGAGCAGGGCUUCUUCUGCAUUGGAAAUGCGGCAGGUGGAUUUCAACAGAAGGUCCAAGGUUUUUGAGGAAGCUAGGAGCACUCUUGAUUGUCUCUGAGGAAUCAAAUAGAGUUAGCAUCUGCCAUUUCAGCUAUGCUAUAAAGCACAGGUCAAUUCUGUGUUAUUUUGCACAGCCCUUCCUUGUUAGUGUUUUCAGUUAUUCCGUUUUUUUUAACAAUGUUUGUUAUACAUAUUGUGCCUUAUCCCAAUAUCCCAACGGUUGUGGCGUUGUAUAUUUCUAUGCUAUGCUUUGAUGUAACAGUGCCUGGUUCUUGUAUCAUAGUUCAUUAGCUUCCAUGGUCAGAAAUGGUAGAUAUCAUCCCAUAUGUAUUUAAUGUUGUGCAACAUAACCACUGCUUUCUUUUUAUGAUCAGCUCUGUAAUAAGUAAGUCUGAUGCUGCAGCUCUUGCUAUGAACCAAAAUGUAACAUUUUGAUUAAAUAUUUAAGCCUAUGCCUGUCAUGUGACAUUUGAUGCCUGAUGAUUAUUUUGUUGCACACUAUGAUAAUAGUUGUAAACUGCUUUUACUGUCAUUUUUUUAAAAGUUUUUAUUUAUUCCAUGAUGAUUUAUUACGAAUACCACCUGGAUUCCAUCCAUUUACAGUACAUCAAUAAAACAAAAAUUCUUCUCUUGCUAUUGUAUAGGGGUGGUUGCAUAUAACGUUGUAGGAAAGAGUGGGUGAUGAAGAUCUCCUCUCCUUUGAUGUGGCUAUCCAUUGGUGGAGCUCAAAAAUACACUAAACUUCUGCUGAUUUCAGCUCUGGAUUUGAAGCGGUUCACACUUCUCCUCUAUCAGUCACCGUAGAGGAAUGUCCCAGUAAUAAUUUUGCUA